rnacentral:snRNA from 1 species
AUACCUUUCUCGGCCUUUUGGCUAAGAUCAAGUGUAGUAUCUGUUCUUAUCAGUUUAAUAUCUGAUACGUGGACCAUCGGUUCACAUGAUAUUAAAUUAAUUUUUUUAGGGUGAGAAUCCAUUACAUUAGCUUGCUAUUGGGGUUCUUCUCGUGUGUCUCCUUUGUGUUGCACUAUUGCAUCGGUUUGGCACAUCCCUA